UUUAAGGUUAACUAUAACUGACUAUAACUGCAACUGAAGGUGGUUUAAGGUUAACUAUAACUGACUAUAACUGUAACUGAAGGUGGUUUAAGGUUAACUAUAACUAACUAUAACUGUAACUGAAGGUGGUUUUAGGUUAACUAUAACUAUAACUAACUAUAACUGUAACUGAAGGUGGUUUUCUGUUAUCUGAAGCUAGGUUUUAGUAGGUAUUAGUAGGUUUAAGGUUAACUAUAACUGGUUUUAGGUUAACUAUAACUGAAGAGGUGGUUUUAGGUUAACUAUAACUGGUUUUAGGUUAACUAUAACUGGUUUUAGGUUAACUAUAACUGACUAUAACUGUAACUGAAGCUGGUU